rnacentral:rRNA from 1 species
CACUACAACGGGUGGAGCCUGCGGUUAAUUGGAUUCAACGCCGGAAAUCUCACCGGGGCGACAGCAAUAUGAAGGUCAGGCUGAAGACCUUACCCGAUUAGCUGAGAGGUGGUGCAUGGCCGUCGUCAGUUCGUACUGUGAAGCAUCCUGUUAAGUCAGGCAACGAGCGAGACCCACGUCCACAGUUGCCAGCAUACCCUCCGGGGUGAUGGGUACACUGUGGAGACCGCCGCUGCUAAAGCGGAGGAAGGAGUGGGCAACGGUAGGUCAGUAUGCCCCGAAUCUCCCGGGCUACACGCGGGCUACAAUGGUUGGUACAAUGGGCAUCUACCCCGAAAGGGGAAGGAAAUCUCUUAAAGCCAAUCGUAGUUCGGAUUGAGGGCUGCAACUCGCCCUCAUGAAGCUGGAAUCGCUAGUAAUCGCGCAUCAGCCAUGGCGCGGUGAAUACGUUCCCGGGCCUU